rnacentral:rRNA from 1 species
GACGAACGCUGGCGGCGUGCUUAACACAUGCAAGUCGAACGGAAAGGCCCUGCUUUUGUGGGGUGCUCGAGUGGCGAACGGGUGAGUAACACGUGAGUAACCUGCCCUUGACUUUGGGAUAACUUCAGGAAACUGGGGCUAAUACCGGAUAGGAGCUCCUGCUGCAUGGUGGGGGUUGGAAAGUUUCGGCGGUUGGGGAUGGACUCGCGGCUUAUCAGCUUGUUGGUGGGGUAGUGGCUUACCAAGGCUUUGACGGGUAGCCGGCCUGAGAGGGUGACCGGCCACAUUGGGACUGAGAUGCGGCCCAGACUCCUACGGGAGGCAGCAGUGGGGAAUAUUGCACAAUGGGCGGAAGCCUGAUGCAGCAGCGCCGCGUGCGGGAUGACGGCCUUCGGGUUGUAAACCGCUUGCGCCUGUGACGAAGCGUGAGUGACGGUAAUGGGUAAAGAAGCACCGGCUAACUACGUG